CGCCGCCGCGGGGUCCGCUGCCACCAGGGGGCACCCGGCACCCCUCCAGAGACAGACAGUAAUGUCCGCCGCUGGAGGAGCAGGCUCGCAAGGGAGCGGUAUCGGAGGUCUGUUAAAGACCUCCGAUACUGCUCCCUUGUGAUCCGCGCGGCAACAGCUGCUGUGC